rnacentral:sRNA from 1 species
GUUGUCGGUCCGGAGUCGAUGGAUUAUCCGACAAACCGCCCCUUUGAUCCCAUCGACAUCCCAAAUUGACCGUCAU